GAGUAGAAUGCCGUCCGCAGCUUGCACAUUUCGCAGCCACCGUCUUGCUGCUGCUCCUUUUCAACGCCACUUCCACUCACCGCCACCAACACCAACAUGAACAGGAGCUCAGCAGCUUCCACUAGGCGUUCAUUGAGGAGGGCAUGUUCCUCUUCACCUCAGAGUCAGUGGGGGAAGGCCACCCAGAUAAGAGCUGUGACCAGAUCAGUGAUGCUGUCCUUGAUGCCCACCUUCAACAAAAUCCUGAUGCCAAAGUAGCUUGUGAAACUGCUGCUAAAACUGGAAUGAUCCUUCUUGCUGGGGAAAUUACAUCCAGAGCUGCUGCUGACUACCAGAAAAUGGUUCGUGAAACUAUUAAACACAUUGGAUAUGAUGAUUCUUCCAAAGGGUUUGACUACAAGACUUGUAAUGUGCUGGUAGCCUUGGAGCAACAGUCACCAGAUAUUUCUCAAAGUGUUCAUCUUGACAGAAAUGAAGAAGACAUUGGUGCUGGACACCAGGGCUUGAUGUUUGGCUAUGCCACUAAUGAAACUGAGGAGUGUAUGUAUGCCUUUAACCAUUGUCUUGGCAUACAAGCUUAAAGCCGAACUGGCAGAACUAUGCCAUAAUGGCACUUUGCCUUGGUUAUGCCCUGAUUCUAAAACUCAAGUUACUGUGCAGGAUUGAGGUGCUAUGCUUCCCAUCAGAGUCCACACAAUUGUUGUAACUGUUCGCAUGAUGAAGAGGUUUGUCUUGAUGGAUGAGAGAUGUCCUAAGGGAGAAAGUCAUCAAAGCCAUUGUGCCUGCAAAAUACCUUGAUAAGGAUAUAAUCUACCACCUACAGCCAAGUGGCAGACUUGUUAUUGGUGGGGCUCUGGGUGACACUGGUUUGUACAACUGGACUGAAAACCAUUGUGGACACUUAUGGAGGUUGGGGUGUUCACGGAGGAGGUGUCUUUUCAUGAAAGGAUUUUAUACUAAGGUCAACCGCUCAGUUGCUUAUGUUGCUCAUUCAGUGGCAAAAUCCCUUGUAACAGGAGGUCUGUGCAGAAGGAUUCUUGUUCCGGUCUAUUACUCUGUUGGAGUUUCUCAUCCAUUAUCUAUCUCCGUUUUCCAUUAUGGUACCUCUCAGAAGAGUGAGAGAGAGCUACUAGAGAUUGUAAAGAAGAAUUUCAGUCUCCACCCUAGGGUCAUUGUCAGGGAUCUGGAUCU